GAGGAGUUCCUGCACUGAUCAGGAAUCUCCUCAGCGUUACAGCAGAGCGCAGCAAAGCCUCAGCAGCUGGAGUAGUGAAGUAAUGUCUGUGCACUGAUUAGCAUGUCUGCAUUCCAUGACUCCUAAAACAUGGCCACCAUCACAAGUAACCAAUGCGAGCAUCACUUGAAUCCCACCGAUCAUUUGACACUGAGCCCGAGCUGCAGCCGGACCUGAACGUACAUCCGGAAACAUGUCAAUGGAAGUGGGGCAGCCGGAUCUAGCCGCUUGGCUAGAAACACGUUAUUGGAGAUGGGGCAAGAUUGAAAAAUACAGGAGCCACGUCGCCUCCCUAAAAUGGAGGUGGGGCGGUGGUGCAUGCCCAAUAGAGCCCUUGCGGAUUCAGGAAGUGUGGCAGAAGUGACACAAAUUAAUAAACUAGACUUUAUCACAUCA